GAUGAACGCUGGCGGCGUGCCUAAUACAUGCAAGUCGAGCGAACGGACGAGAAGCUUGCUUCUCUGAUGUUAGCGGCGGACGGGUGAGUAACACGUGGAUAACCUACCUAUAAGACUGGGAUAACUUCGGGAAACCGGAGCUAAUACCGGAUAAUAUUUUGAACCGCAUGGUUCAAAAGUGAAAGACGGUCUUGCUGUCACUUAUAGAUGGAUCCGCGCUGCAUUAGCUAGUUGGUAAGGUAACGGCUUACCAAGGCAACGAUGCAUAGCCGACCUGAGAGGGUGAUCGGCCACACUGGAACUGAGACACGGUCCAGACUCCUACGGGAGGCAGCAGUAGGGAAUCUUCCGCAAUGGGCGAAAGCCUGACGGAGCAACGCCGCGUGAGUGAUGAAGGUCUUCGGAUCGUAAAACUCUGUUAUUAGGGAAGAACAUAUGUGUAAGUAACUGUGCACAUCUUGACGGUACCUAAUCAGAAAGCCACGGCUAACUACGUGCCAGCAGCCGCGGUAAUACGUAGGUGGCAAGCGUUAUCCGGAAUUAUUGGGCGUAAAGCGCGCGUAGGCGGUUUUUUAAGUCUGAUGUGAAAGCCCACGGCUCAACCGUGGAGGGUCAUUGGAAACUGGAAAACUUGAGUGCAGAAGAGGAAAGUGGAAUUCCAUGUGUAGCGGUGAAAUGCGCAGAGAUAUGGAGGAACACCAGUGGCGAAGGCGACUUUCUGGUCUGUAACUGACGCUGAUGUGCGAAAGCGUGGGGAUCAAACAGGAUUAGAUACCCUGGUAGUCCACGCCGUAAACGAUAAGUGCUAAGUGUUAGGGGGUUUCCGCCCCUUAGUGCUGCAGCUAACGCAUUAAGCACUCCGCCUGGGGAGUACGACCGCAAGGUUGAAACUCAAAGGAAUUGACGGGGACCCGCACAAGCGGUGGAGCAUGUGGUUUAAUUCGAAGCAACGCGAAGAACCUUACCAAAUCUUGACAUCCUUUGACAACUCUAGAGAUAGAGCCUUCCCCUUCGGGGGACAAAGUGACAGGUGGUGCAUGGUUGUCGUCAGCUCGUGUCGUGAGAUGUUGGGUUAAGUCCCGCAACGAGCGCAACCCUUAAGCUUAGUUGCCAUCAUUAAGUUGGGCACUCUAAGUUGACUGCCGGUGACAAACCGGAGGAAGGUGGGGAUGACGUCAAAUCAUCAUGCCCCUUAUGAUUUGGGCUACACACGUGCUACAAUGGACAAUACAAAGGGCAGCGAAACCGCGAGGUCAAGCAAAUCCCAUAAAGUUGUUCUCAGUUCGGAUUGUAGUCUGCAACUCGACUACAUGAAGCUGGAAUCGCUAGUAAUCGUAGAUCAGCAUGCUACGGUGAAUACGUUCCCGGGUCU
rnacentral:rRNA from 1 species